GCAUCGGUGGUUCAGUGGUAGAAUGCUCGCCUGCCAAGAGGGCGGUUAGAUUCUGGCCGAUGUA